rnacentral:rRNA from 1 species
CAAUAGCGUAUAUUAAAGUUGUUGCGGUUAGAACGCUCGUAGUCGGAUUUCGGGGCGGGCCGACCGGUCUGCCGAUGGGUACGCACUGGUCGGCGCGUCCUUCCUUCCGGAGACCGUGCCUACUCUUAACUGAGCGGGGGCGGGAGACGGAUCGUUUACUUUGAAAAAAUCAGAGUGUUUCAAGCAGGCAGCUCGCUCUUGCAUGGAUUAGCAUGGGAUAAUGAAAUAGGACUUUGGUGCUAUUUUGUUGGUUUCGAACACCGAAGUAAUGAUUAACAGGGACAGUCAGGGGCACUCGUAUUCCGCCGAGAGAGGUGAAAUUCUCAGACCAGCGGAAGACGAACUACUGCGAAAGCAUUUGCCAGGGAUGUUUUCACUGA